rnacentral:lncRNA from 1 species
GGCUUGUUCUGUCCGCCCAUAGCAACGCCCCCGGCUUGUUCUGUCCGCCCAUAGCAACGCCCCCGGCUUGUUCUGUCCGCCCAUAGCAACACCCCCGGCUUGUUCUGUCUGCCCAUAGCAACACCCUUGUUCUGUCUGCCCAUAGCAACACCCUUGUUCUGUCUGCCCAUAGCAACGCCCUUGUUCUGUCUGCCCAUAGCAACACUAUUAUUCUACAAUAAAGAAAAACCCUUGGAUGAGUAGAUUUGUCCAAACCUUGACUGGUGCUGUAUGUGAUAUGAAUGACCAAAGGGGUCUGAUUUUAAACUAAGUACAGGGCUUUCAUCAAGGUUAGGGGCUUUCAUCAAGGUUAGGGGCUUUCAUCAAGGUUAGGGGCUUUCAUCAAGGUUAGGGGCUUUCAUCAAGGUUGGGGGCUUUCAUCAAGGUUAGUGUUUCUGUAGGUUAGGGGGCUUUCAUCAAGGUUAGUGUUUCUGUAGGUUAGGGGGCUUUCAUCAAGGUGUUUCUGUAGGUUAGGGGGCUUUCAUCAAGGUGUUUCUGUAGGUUAGGGGGCUUUCAUCAAGGUGUUUCUGUAGGUUAGGGGGCUUUCAUCAAGGUGUUUCUGUAGGUUAGGGGGCUUUCAUCAAGGUGUUUCUGUAGGUUAGGGGGCUUUCAUCAAG